GUUUUUAGCACUGUCUGUUUCCAGCAUGAUCUCACAGUUCUUAUCCCAGCGUCUAAGGCAGGAAUACUGAGUCCCUAGAAAAAUCAUGAAGCAGAUCUUCAAGGAAUCCAUCUCAAAUCACUUGCAGGAGAAGACGAUGAUUAAGAACAGCCAGCAUGGAUUCACCAAGGUGGGAGCUGAAGAUGGAAGGCUAUCUCCCUGUGGGUCCAUGAGAACCUUUGUGAGCUGUGCUGAGUAGCUCUUUGAUGUGUAGAU